UACGUAGGGUGCAAGCGUUGUCCGGAAUUAUUGGGCGUAAAGAGCUCGUAGGCGGUUCGUCGCGUCGGCUGUGAAAACCCGGAGCUCAACUCCGGGCCUGCAGUCGAUACGGGCGGACUUGAGUGUUGCAGGGGAGACUGGAAUUCCUGGUGUAGCGGUGAAAUGCGCAGAUAUCAGGAGGAACACCGGUGGCGAAGGCGGAUCUCUGGGCCGAUACUGACGCGGAGGAGCGAAAGCGUGGGGAGCGAACAGG
rnacentral:rRNA from 1 species